UAAAAAUUAAAAACAACCUAUAUUACUUCAAAAUUAAUUGAAGGACCGAAGUAUGAUAGAUAGUUUCGCUGGGACGGCGACUUCCUAAAAGUAACGGAAGUGUAUAAUGACGAUUUUAGUGGUAAAUAACCCUUUAACGUCUGAUUAUAGUAACAACAAUUACUAUGAGGAUAGUGGAUGUCUAUUAUAAUGACCCGAUGUCACUUUGUAAAAAAACAAUCGCUCAACGGAUAAAAUAGGUACGUUAGGGAUAACAGGCUGAUGGGCUUCCAGAGUUCUUAUCCAAAAGCUCGUUUGGCACCUCGAUGUCGACUCUUUACAGCCUCGUAGUGAAUAAUCUAUGAAGGGUUCGGUGUUCACCGAUUAAAGUAGAACGUGAGUUGGGUUUAAAAACGCCGCGAGGUAGUUUGGUUUCUAACUACUGUAUAAAUUAAGAAUUUUUAGUAAAAUAAGAAAGCAGUACGAGAGG
rnacentral:rRNA from 1 species